GACGAACGCUGGCGGCGUGCUUAACACAUGCAAGUCGAACGGAAAGGCCCUGCUUUUGUGGGGUGCUCGAGUGGCGAACGGGUGAGUAACACGUGAGUAACCUGCCCUUUACUUUGGGAUAACUUCAGGAAACUGGGGCUAAUACCGGAUAGGAGCUCCUGCUGCAUUGUGGUGUUUGGAAAUUUUCGGCGUUUGGGGAUGGACUCGCGGCUUAUCAGCUUGUUUGUGGGGUAGUGGCUUACCAAGGGUUUGACGGGUAGCCGGCCUGAGAGGGUGACCGGCAACAUUGGGACUGAGAUACGGCCCAGAGUCCAACGGGAGGCAGAAGUGGGGAAUAUUGCAGAAUGGGCGGAAGCCUGAUGCAGAAACGCCGCGUGCGGGAUGACGGCCUUCGGGUUGUAAACCGAUUUAGCAUGUGACGAAGCGUGAGUGACGGUAAUGGGUAAAGAAGCACCGGCUAACUACGUG
rnacentral:rRNA from 1 species